rnacentral:rRNA from 1 species
UACGGAGGGUGCGAGCGUUGUCCGGAAUCACUGGGCGUAAAGGGCGCGUAGGCGGCCUGGUAAGUAGGGGGUGAAAUCCUGCGGCUUAACCGCAGGGCUGCCUUCUAAACUGUCAGGCUCGAGCACGGUAGAGGCAGAUGGAAUUCCCGGUGUAGCGGUGGAAUGCGUAGAGAUCGGGAAGAACAUCAGUGGCGAAGGCGGUCUGCUGGGCCGUUGCUGACGCUGAGGCGCGACAGCGUGGGGAGCGAACAGG